rnacentral:rRNA from 1 species
GUGGGGAAUUUUGGACAAUGGGCGCAAGCCUGAUCCAGCAAUGCCGCGUGUGUGAAGAAGGCCUUCGGGUUGUAAAGCACUUUUGGCAGGAAAGAAAUAGUGCGUGCUAAUACCAUGCGCGAAUGACGGUACCCGCAGAAUAAGCACCGGCUAACUACGUGCCAGCAGCCGCGGUAAGACGUAGGGUGCAAGCGUUAAUCGGAAUUACUGGGCGUAAAGCGUGCGCAGGCGGUUUUGUAAGACAGGUGUGAAAUCCCCGGGCUCAACCUGGGAACUGCACUUGUGACUGCAAGGCUAGAGUGUGUCAGAGGGAGGUGGAAUUCCGCGUGUAGCAGUGAAAUGCGUAGAGAUGCGGAGGAACACCGAUGGCGAAGGCAGCCUCCUGGGAUAACACUGACGCUCAGGCACGAAAGCGUGGGGAGCAAACAGGAUUAGAAACCCGAGUAGUCC